ACAUUCAGCGAGGGGUGCCGUGGCAAUUAUGGACCAGUUCCAUUUUUUGACCGGCUGAGAUUAUACCCUACGAACCUGAUCCGGGUCAUACCGGCGUAGGGACUGCUGUGUUGACGUUGU
rnacentral:ncRNA from 2 species